rnacentral:rRNA from 1 species
GACAGAGGUGCCAAGCGUUAGGCGGAAUCACUGGGCUUAAAGCGUGUGUAGGCGGGCGGGCAAGUACCUUGUGAAAUCCCACGGCUCAACCGUGGAACGGCUGGGUAUACUGCCUGUCUUGAGCCAGCUAGGGGCGACCGGAACAGACGGGUGGAGCGGAUGAAAUGCGUAGAUAUCGUCUGGAACGCCAAAGGUGAAAACAGGUCGCUGGGGCUGAGCUGACGCUGAGACACGAAAGCCAGGGGAGCGAACGGG